CAGUGGAGAGCAGCUGAUGGGAGCCCUUGAUUUCUCCCCCAGACAAUCCAAUGAGGUCCCAGCUGCAGCUGCCACCCUUCAGCUCAGACCGACAUCGGUAGCAGGCGCUGUAGCCCCAAUAGGAGGAAGAGCCAGGCCUUUUUGGAUUCCAAGAGCUGGGCAUUUCAUCACAGACCCUGAAUCAUGAGCGUUUCACCUCCACCUCUCUCGUGAGUCUUUAUCUGCUGCCCCCUUUGGCUCCUGUGCCGGAGAAGGGGAGCCAGCCCCACGCCCACACCAGAAACUUCUCCACUAAUUCAACUCAUCUCAGAGCACCGACUUCAGAAAACUCCCUGUCCAGUGCGGAGUGAUGCGGGGACAGAGAGAGUAUUUCAUCCCUAAAUUCACCAACUGUUUAUUGAGCAUUGAUUCGGUGCCAGGUGAUGAACAAGGAACUCUUCGCCUUCGUGGGCUCACGUGCUGAGUGAGGAUGUACACCACUCAGCCCGUGUGUCCUUCACCGUGACUAGCAGCAGGCUGGGACCUCACGUAGAACGACAAGACAGCAGUGGCCAGAGUUCACAGGACCCUGACUGUGUGGCAGGGACGAAGAGCAAUGAUGGAAAUGUAGCUGGGGAUCUGAUUACUAGGUCAGCUUUGCCGACUGACCAGCUCCCCCAGCCCCAUGCCCAUGGGGGCCCUGGUUCCCAUGGGGUCAGUGUUCCUAGAGGAACUGGAGGUCAACUUUAGAAAAUUACAUCUCCCCGUAUUCACAAAUGCCCAUUCACAAAGAGCCACUUUCUCUGCAAGAUCCUAUAUCAUGCC
ensembl:lncRNA